AUACGGAGGUUGCAAGCGUUAAUCGGAAUUAUUGGGCGUAAAGCGCAUGUAGGCGGCUUGGUAAGUUGGAUGUGAAAGUUCGGGGCUUAACGGCGAAUGGCGAUCGAAAACUCUGAAAUUUAGUGCAGGAGGAGGAAGGGGGACUCCCCCGUGAAGCGGGGAAUGCGUAGAUAUUGGGAAGAACACCGGUGGCGAAAGCGGCGUCCUGGACUGUGUCUGACGCUCAGAUGCGAAAGCUAGGGUAGCAAACGGGAUUAGAUACCCCGGUAGUCUUGGCCGUAAACGAUGGGAACUAGGGGUGGGUGGUAUCGACUCCUUCGGUGCUGGAGUAAACGCAAUAAGUACACCGCCUGGGGAGUACGGCCGCAAGGUUUAAACUCAAAGGAAUUGGCGGGG
rnacentral:rRNA from 1 species